GACGAACGCUGGCGGCGUGCUUAACACAUGCAAGUCGAACGGAAAGGCCCUGCUUUUGUGGGGUGCUCGAGUGGCGAACGGGUGAGUAACACGUGAGUAACCUGCCCUUGACUUUGGGAUAACUUCAGGAAACUGGGGCUAAUACCGGAUAGGAGCUCCUGCUGCAUGGUGGGGGUUGGAAAGUUUCGGCGGUUGGGGAUGGACUCGCGGCUUAUCAGCUUGUUGGUGGGGUAGUGGCUUACCAAGGCUUUGACGGGUAGCCGGCCUGAGAGGGUGACCGGCCACAUUGGGACUGAGAUACGGCCCAGACUCCUACGGGGGGCAGCAGUGGGGAAUAUUGCACAAUGGGCGGAAGCCUGAUGCAGCAACGCCGCGUGCGGGAUGACGGCCUUCGGGUCGUAAACCGCUUUCGCCUGUGACGAAGCGUGAGUGACGGUAAUGGGUAAAGAAGCACCGGCUAACUACGUG
rnacentral:rRNA from 1 species